CAGCAGCCGCGGGAAUACGAGGGGGGGCAAGCGUUGUUCGGAAUUAUUGGGCGUAAAGGGUGCGUAGGCGGUUCAGCAAGUCUCGUGUGAAAUCUUCGGGCUCAACCCGAAGUCUGCACGGGAAACUACUGGGCUUGAGUAAUGGAGAGGUGAGUGGAAUUUCCGGUGUAGCGGUGAAAUGCGUAGAUAUCGGAAGGAACACCUGUGGCGAAAGCGGCUCACUGGACAUUUACUGACGCUGAUGCACGAAAGCUAGGGGAGCAAACAGGAUUAGAUACCCCUGUAGUCCCUGUCUCUUAUA
rnacentral:rRNA from 1 species